rnacentral:rRNA from 1 species
AUGCAGUCGAGCGAGCGGAACUAACAGAUUUACUUCGGUAAUGACGUUAGGAAAGCGAGCGGCGGAUGGGUGAGUAACACGUGGGGAACCUGCCCCAUAGUCUGGGAUACCACUUGGAAACAGGUGCUAAUACCGGAUAAGAAAGCAGAUCGCAUGAUCAGCUUUUAAAAGGCGGCGUAAGCUGUCGCUAUGGGAUGGCCCCGCGGUGCAUUAGCUAGUUGGUAAGGUAAAGGCUUACCAAGGCGAUGAUGCAUAGCCGAGUUGAGAGACUGAUCGGCCACAUUGGGACUGAGACACGGCCCAAACUCCUACGGGAGGCAGCAGUAGGGAAUCUUCCACAAUGGACGCAAGUCUGAUGGAGCAACGCCGCGUGAGUGAAGAAGGUUUUCGGAUCGUAAAGCUCUGUUGUUGGUGAAGAAGGAUAGAGGUAGUAACUGGCCUUUAUUUGACGGUAAUCAACCAGAAAGUCACGGCUAACUACGUGCCAGCAGCCGCGGUAAUACGUAGGUGGCAAGCGUUGUCCGGAUUUAUUGGGCGUAAAGCGAGCGCAGGCGGAAGAAUAAGUCUGAUGUGAAAGCCCUCGGCUUAACCGAGGAACUGCAUCGGAAACUGUUUUUCUUGAGUGCAGAAGAGGAGAGUGGAACUCCAUGUGUAGCGGUGGAAUGCGUAGAUAUAUGGAAGAACACCAGUGGCGAAGGCGGCUCUCUGGUCUGCAACUGACGCUGAGGCUCG